AUGCUACGCAUGCUUAAGACUUCUAUUUCCAAGAUGUGUAGAAAACAAAACAAAAAAGUCAUAAAACUGUUUCAGAUAUUAGGUCUUAAAGAGAGCACACCUUCCAGGAUUUUCCAGGUUCGUUUUCCCGUCAAGUCUAAUCCAAACUUUGGCAUUUCUAUUAGGAAGUCGUUUCUUUUCUCCCAUCUGCCAAGGCAGAUUUACGUAUGAAAAAGUGGUGACUUCUAUGUAAGUCGCAUCUGAAGGCUUUGGGGGUUUUGUCCAUACUGAUAUUUUUAAUGGUGUCAAGUAAAAAGCUCCAUUCUGGUAACAAGGUUGUAAUCACUAAAACAAAAUGCCAUAUUCUCAAAAGGAUUUCCUUACAACUCAGCUAAGUUAUGGUGAUGAGAAAGGAUUUGCUAAAUUCUUAAUCAUGCUGUCUAACAUUUCUCACUCAAAAGGUAAUAGAAUCAACUAGCUCUAGUCAUGAAUCCAAAUAUUCUUAGGACAGAAGCUAACAAAUAUUGCACAUUUACCCAUCUCCAAACUCACCUUUAAACUAUCUUUAUACCUCAGAAUGAAGGACAAAAUUAAUGAAAAGAGAAGUCAUGUCAUUAUUAAAAUCCUCACUAUAGUGCAAAUAGUAGAAAUUUCCAAGGAAUCUCGGAGAUAUUUAAGCCAACUCAUUUUACAGGUGAAUGACCUGACACCCAGACAAGGUGAAAUGACAUGCCUAAAAGUCACACAGGAGAGCUAGAAGAGAAAAAAAGCAUUUUUUUUUCCCAAAACAAGCAGACAGGAUUUUUCAUGUUAAUCAAAAAGAAUCAAGAUCAUCAGAUUAGGAAGAAAUGAGGAAUAAAACAUACGUUACACACAGAUUUAAAGAACUAGUCAAUCUGCUGCCCCCAAAACCAAAACCUUCUCUAAACAUAUGGACAUAUAUCCAUCAAGAUGCUUACCCUUCAAAUAUCAGAAUCUUGGAAAAUUCAAUUUACAAAUACAUUAAUUAUUCCACAUGGAAUCCCAAAUUACUCUUAUCUCCAGUUCCUUAAACUCCUAGAAGACUAGAGAUGAACAAGCCAACGUAUAAAUAGGACUAGGGAAAAAGCAGCUCAAAUGGCAUAGUGUCUGUAUUUUAAAGUACCCAAGAUCAUUUGAUGCUUAAGAGAAAUCCCACUACAUCUAACAUUUUUUUAAGCAUGUAUAACUAAAAUGCUAGUGAAACUUUUGUGUUUACCCAAAAAAUAACAUUGCAGUUUUAAGUGAAAAUGAAAUAGGCAUGGUUUGUGAAAUUUUUAUAAUGUUUACACCACCCUCUUCCUGUUCCCUGCUCCUUUCAUCAGGUGAUCUGAAGACUACCUGGUUGGAAAUAUUUGGUAACUCAGUGCAGAAAAUUAAGGUCACAGACAAAGUACAACAACUUUUAAUACACCAUUAAUACUAAUGAUUAAAAAU
rnacentral:lncRNA from 10 species